rnacentral:rRNA from 1 species
CACGUAGGGGGCGAGCGUUGUUCGGAAUUACUGGGCGUAAAGGGCAUGUAGGCGGCCUUAUAAGCCUGGCGUGAAAGUCACCGGCUCAACCGGUGGAUUGCGUUGGGAACUGUAGGGCUUGAAUCAUGGAGAGGGAGCUAGAAUUCCUGGUGUAGGGGUGAAAUCUGUAGAGAUCAGGAAGAAUACCAGUGGCGAAGGCGAGCUCCUGGCCAAUGAUUGACGCUGAGGUGCGAAAGUGUGGGGAUCAAACAGG